AGUGAACGCUGGCGGCAGGCCUAACACAUGCAAGUCGAGCGGCAGCGCGGGGGCAACCCUGGCGGCGAGCGGCGGACGGGUGAGGAAUUCGUCGGAAUCUGCCUUUUUGUGGGGGAUAACGUAGGGAAACUUACGCUAAUACCGCAUACGUCCUACGGGAGAAGGGGGGGACCGGAAGGGCUCACGGAGAAAGGAGGACCCGACGACCGAUAAGCUAGUUGGUGGGGUAAAGGCCCACCAAGGCGACGAUCGGUAGCUGGUCUGAGAGGAUGAUCAGCCACACUGGGACUGAGACACGGCCCAGACUCCUACGGGAGGCAGCAGUGGGGAAUAUUGGACAAUGGGCGCAAGCCUGAUCCAGCCAUGCCGCGUGUGUGAAGAAGGCCUUCGGGUUGUAAAGCACUUUUGUCCGGAAAGAAAUCCCUGGAGCUAAUACCUUCGGGGGAUGACGGUACCGGAAGAAUAAGCACCGGCUAACUUCGUG
rnacentral:rRNA from 1 species